CCUACGGGUGGCAGCAGUGAGGAAUAUUGGUCAAUGGACGAGAGUCUGAACCAGCCAAGUAGCGUGAAGGAUGACUGCCCUAUGGGUUGUAAACUUCUUUUAUAUGGGAAUAAAAUGUUCCACGUGUGGGAUUUUGUAUGUACAACAUGAAUCAGGAUCGGCUAACUCCGUGCCAGCAGCCGCGGUAAUACGGAGGAUCCGAGCGUUAUCCGGAUUUAUUGGGUGUAACGGGACCGUAGGUGGAUUGUUAAGUCAGUUGUGAAAGUUUGCGACUCAACCGUAAAAUUGCAGUUGAAACUGGCAGUCGUGAGUACAGGAGAGGUGAGCGGAAUUCGUGGUGUAGCGGUGAAAUGCUUAGAUAUCACGAAGAACUACGAUUGCGAAGGCAGCUCACUGGACUGCAACUGACACUGAGGCUCGAAAGUGUGGGUAUCAAACAGGAUUAGAUACCCGUGUAGUC
rnacentral:rRNA from 1 species